CACGUAGGCACCAAGCGUUGUCCGGAUUUAUUGGGCGUAAAGAGCUCGUAGGCGGCUCGUUGCGUCGGCUGUGAAAACCCGCAGCUCAACUGUGGGCUUGCAGCCGAUACGGGCGGGCUGGAGUUCGGUAGGGGAGACUGGAAUUCCUGGUGUAGCGGUGAAAUGCGCAGAUAUCAGGAGGAACACCGGUGGCGAAGGCGGGUCUCUGGGCAUUAACUGACGCUGAGGAGCGAAAGCAUGGGGGAGCGAACAGG
rnacentral:rRNA from 1 species